rnacentral:lncRNA from 1 species
UUUAGACAAAGUAUAAUGAUAGAUAUAUGUUAAAAAAUCACUAUACAAAUUAUUCAUGAUGUGUGGGAGUUAGAUUAGGAGUUUUUAAAUAUACAAAUUAUUGACUUGUUUGCUAUAUGCAUUUUUCAAGAUAACAUUACAUUAUGAGUUGUUAAUUUCUCAUAAUAUAUGUUUUAUGCCAGUUACUUUUUUGUUUUUGUUUUUGUAUUAUUAACACUUUUUUAAGUGAAGGUACUUUUGUUAGUUAAGGUACUUUAAAAAAAAAAGGUGUUCAAUUGGAUUUUUUAGUUUGUCGAAUGUGCUCUUCUUUUUCAUUUUUUUCUUCUUUUUAGCAUUAAAGUGUUCUUUUUUGGAAAUAAAUAUAUUUAUUAACCUGGAUUAAUUCAUUUUUUGUUAGGAAUAAUUGUUU